UACGUAGGGUGCAAGCGUUAAUCGGAAUUACUGGGCGUAAAGCGUGCGCAGGCGGUUUUUCAAGACAGAUGUGAAAUCCCCGGGCUUAACCUGGGAAUGGCAUUUGUGACUGGAAGGCUAGAGUGUGUCAGAGGGGGGUAGAAUUCCACGUGUAGUAGUGAAAUGCGUAGAGAUGUGGAGGAAUACCGAUGGCGAAGGCAGCCCCCUGGGAUAACACUGACGCUCAUGCACGAAAGCGUGGGGAGCAAACAGG
rnacentral:rRNA from 1 species